AUAUUUCAGUUAUCAUAUUCGUGACGUACACCCGUUGGUAUUCUCAAGGUUCACAGAAUAACGUGGCCUUUCUUGCUCCACUUCCAUUCGCGACGCGGCAUUUGGCACACUCCAUAGACAAGAAUUAGGAAGAAGGACGAGAUCUUAAGCAUAAUGCAAGGCCCGACCCGCAUCCUCCUGGUGCUGGCGCUGCUGAGUGCGGCGGCCUUGGCGGCGGUGGACGCGGCGCCGCUGGAGGACGAGGGAACCCAGGAGUUGAGUGUGAAGUGCAUCUUAUGUACACCUGACUGUCGCCCAUGCUACAAGCCGGACCAUAAUAACGUCUGUCGCCCUAUAUUCGGCUGCUCUCCUUGAUGUGGAACCUCCCGCGUCAAAAGCAGCGUCUGUGGGUGUCUGGAUUUAACAAAUGUAUACCACGCAAGAGUUGGUAAUAAAUCUAUAAAGGAAGAAGAAGAAAGAGAAACAGAAGGAGAGGUGGUGUAAGGAGAGUUCAUAGAUUUGUUAAGAGGUAAUGGUAAUGGUCUAAUAAAGUUCUCAACCUUU